GACGGGGGGGGCAAGUGUUCUUCGGAAUGACUGGGCGUCAAGGGCACGUAGGCGGUGAAUCGGGUUGAAAGUGAAAGUCGCCAAAAAGUGGCGGAAUGCUCUCGAAACCAAUUCACUUGAGUGGGACAGAGGAGAGUGGAAUUUCGUAUGUAGGGGUGAAAUCCGUAGAUCUACGAAGGAAGGCCAAAAGCGAAGGCAGCUCUCUGGGUCCCUACCGACGCUGGGGUGCGAAAGCGUGGGGAGCGAACAGG
rnacentral:rRNA from 1 species